AAUGUGCUUGGGCCUUAAGCCCAAGCUCCACACGGCAAACCGGAUUCAGGCCAAAGCAUCUAAGCCAAAACACAAAACACUCAGCAACAUGAACAAUGAACAUUUCACCACCAUCUUCAUGUUCCCAUGAUCUCACACUCUCACUUCAAAUGUUCAUCGAAAAAUAUGAACAAACGAAAUGAAUCUGAAUCAGUGCCUAAUCAUCAUCACCAAAAUCCAAUUUCAAUUUGAAUUCAUCAUCAUCGGAUCGAGUUGCAAAAUCCAACACCGAAAUCAAUUCACAAUCAAAUAGUAUCUUACACGCGGAAUUGAAGAGAAUCGGGGAUGAAACAAAGAAUGGAUUGUUCAAGGGAGUUGCAGCGAUAAUUGAAGCAAGACAUAGAAGAAUAACUUACCGAAUCGAAAUCCUGACACGGUGGCUCUCCAGCGAAUCGCAUGUUUAGGCAUGGCAUUGAGGAUUGACCAAAGUGUAAUAUCAAGAGAUGAAUCAAAUGACUGCGGGCUUGAAGAUCAUGGUGAUUAGGACUUAGGAAUAAAUGAUCGACUUUGGUCAACUAGUUGACCAAAAAGUUAACAGUUGACCAAAGUCAAAUGUAGGUUUUAGACUAGGGUUUUCUUGAUGUAAAAGGACUUAUGAAAAUGUACAUAUGACUUGUAAUGUAAAAAGGAUCUUGAUAUGAAAUAAAAUUUGAUUUUCUA